GGAAUUUUGGACAAUGGGGGAAACCCUGAUCCAGCCAUCCCGCGUGUGCGAUGAAGGCCUUCGGGUUGUAAAGCACUUUUGGCAGGAAAGAAACGUCGCGGGUUAAUACCUCGCGAAACUGACGGUACCUGCAGAAUAAGCACCGGCUAACUACGUGCCAGCAGCCGCGGUAAUACGUAGGGUGCAAGCGUUAAUCGGAAUUACUGGGCGUAAAGCGUGCGCAGGCGGUUCGGAAAGAAAGAUGUGAAAUCCCAGAGCUUAACUUUGGAACUGCAUUUUUAACUACCGGGCUAGAGUGUGUCAGAGGGAGGUGGAAUUCCGCGUGUAGCAGUGAAAUGCGUAGAUAUGCGGAGGAACACCGAUGGCGAAGGUAGCCUCCUGGGAUAACACUGACGCUCAUGCACGAAAGCGUGGGGAGCAAACAGGA
rnacentral:misc_RNA from 1 species